rnacentral:tRNA from 1 species
GGCCGCUUAGCUCAGUUGGUUAGAGCGUUGCAUUCACAUUGCAAAGGUCGGGGGUUCGACUCCCUCAGCGGCUA